rnacentral:rRNA from 1 species
UACGUAGGGUGCAAGCGUUAAUCGGAAUUACUGGGCGUAAAGCGUGCGCAGGCGGUGAUGUAAGACAGUUGUGAAAUCCACGGGCUCAACCUGGGAACUGCAUCUGUGACUGCAUCGCUGGAGUGCGGCAGAGGGGGAUGGAAUUCCGCGUGUAGCAGUGAAAUGCGUAGACAUGCGGAGGAACACCGAUGGCGAAGGCAAUCCCCUGGGCCUGCACUGACGCUCAUGCACGAAAGCGUGGGGAGCAAACAGG